rnacentral:rRNA from 1 species
AGUCUGCAACCCGACUCCGUGAAGCUGGAUUCGCUAGUAAUCGCGCAUCAGCCAUGGCGCGGUGAAUACGUUCCCGGGCCUUGUACACACCGCCCGUCAAGCCAUGGGAGCCGGGGGUGCUUGAAGUGCGUCGCCGCAAGGCGCGCCCUAGAGCAAAACCGGUGACUGGGGCUAAGUCGUAACAAGGUAUC